GACAGUGACGUACUUUUCUCAUCCAUAUAUAAUUGAAGGUACCUCAUCUCAUGUAUAUUGUCUCCUUCCUACAACUAUUGAUACCGCGAAUGGUUGAGUUCUUGCUUCUCUUCACGACAAAAUGAGGAAAUCAACGGCGAGCAAUUGGAUCGAUUUAGCAAGCCCCGGUGUUCAUGGUGAUGAUGGAGCGGAUCUUCUGCUACUCAAGUCCGGAGUGAUCUUCGUGCUGUGCUUGAUCCUUGCGUCAGUUGUUAUAUUUUUCCUGUGGCGACUCUCAGAAUGAAAACGGCCGCCGCCACGGAGGCGGCGGUGGAGGCGGUGGAGGUGGCGGUUGUGGUGGAGGAGGUGGGGGCGGCGGUUGCGGCGGGGGCGGCGGGGGGUGUUGAAUUGACCUUAUAUUUAUAUACCUUUAAGGCAUGAGUCAAAAAAAAAAAAAAAGCAGUUUCAUGUCAAUAAAUUGCAAUACGAUAGUGUGGUCUGUGUUUCAUUUUAGGAUUGCUAUUAGGGUUAAGUAUCUUGUAAUUUACAUAUGUUGUAUUUAAGUAUAAUUGUACUCUCCCCCCAUACUUGUGUUCUUCAUUUGAUAAUUUGCGGAUAUUAUAAUCCUCUAUGUUUACAAUUCUCAACUUGAUGUCAGAGUUAUUUGUUCUUUGAGGGAAAACCCUUUUUUUUUUUUGUUGAAAGAUAGUAAUUUCAUUACUAGCCCGCUAAAGGGGCACCAUUAGUUGGCAAAUCUAAACAUAGAAUUAAAUAUAAAGAACGAGGAGGAUUAGCAAUCCAAUUGCUAGGAAGUGAUUUGGUUCAGUGGGCGUUAGUGACCCAAUCCGCCGCCUUGUUAGUGUCUUGCGGCUCAUAGAUAAUUGAAACUCCACUAACCUAGGCCAAUAUUCCCCUGCAAUCUGCGACUAUGGGCUAGGCCGGCCAAGGGGGUUCCUCUAGGCCUGAUAAGCUGUUUACUAGUGAUAAGUUAUCAGAUGAAAUGAACACCUGCAAUUCAGUUCCUCCUUUUAGCUUCUGGUUUUGUUCUGUUCAUGUGUCUCUUCUGUUCUGCACCCAAAGUGCCGCUUCUCUCAUAGCUAGGGCUUCGGCGACCCACGCGGACAGAGCAUAGAUCGACUUUGCAAAACCAUGAAGGAGGAGACCGGCGUCAUUUCUGCACACCCUAGCAACCGAUCCAACCUUGGACGAUCCGCACCAGGAGCAAUCUACAUUUAGUUUCAUCUCAUUUGCUGAAGGUGGGUUCCAUUUCAACACUGGUUGAGGAGCUACUGGUGACCCUCAGCGACUGUUCUUCCCCCUCAAGUUCCAUUUCUUAAAGAGUGUUGUUGUGAUGCUUGUCUUUUCUUGAGUUGCGGUUGGGUCAGGCUUCCGCCCUUGGAAGUCUGAUGCGUUGCUAAACUUCUAGAUCUACCACAGAGCACCAACAAACAUGGCUUUCAAGUUUGGAUCUGCUCGUGAGGUGAGAUUCUCGGAAACCCACUUAUCAAUGCAAGUGAUUCAUUCUGGAGAUGUAUCAGCUUGAAAGUUAGGGGCUGACCAUAUGUUUUUUGUCCAAUCAUAGAGGAUGAAGAGGCGCUCUGCUGAUUCCGGGGCUUGUCCACAUAUCUGACAGGUAGGAGCAGGUAGCAUUUUCUUUUUAUACAAGUUUUCCUUCAUGGGGAGUGUGUUGCUACAUAUAUUCUAUAGUAAGAAGCGAAUUUUGAGAAAAGUAUGAAGCUUCCAAAUUUCGUUCCAUAGCGACUUAGGAGUUUGGUAAGAUGAAGACGGGAUAUUUGUAGUGGGGAUUUCAGCCUUGUUAUGUAUUCUGUUGUAGCCGCUUUUCACAUUAUAGGAGCCCAAUCUAUUUGAUGUCCACACAAGCUUAUCUGGAUGGGGCGUUAGGCUAAUGGGAGUAGCUAAAAUCUCUUUAGCUAUAUCUUCCUCAAACAGGUCGUUCACUCGUUGAGUAUCCCAUUCAUUGACUCAUGAUCAAUUAAGUCAGCCACCACCCUAGGUUCAUCCCGAUUUGCGGGGCCGAUGAGCUUUCUUGAAGGUAGGCAUGUGUCUUCUCUAAUUCUUAUUUUCUGUCCAUCCCCCACUGCCCACCUAGAUUUAGGUUCAAUUGUAUUUCUCCCCAUCAAUAAACUUUGCCACCCCAGGAUGGCCGAAAACCUUUGUUAGUUGAUGUUGACACCUAAAAUUUGGUGACCUGUUUAGUCAUUUAUCGCAUUAAAAAAAAUUAGGGGUUAAUUUUAUUUCCGAAAAGAUAGUUAAUUACAUAGCAUAUAGUUUUAUGUGCAUUUAUUUUUAAUUUGCAUUUACAUUGGGCCGAUGACGGAUGGGUUCGAAUUGAUCGUUUAUAAACUUUAAUUUGAUGAGUUGAGCUAAGCCUAUGAAGAGAGCAAAUAGACCCAAGCCCGUAUUCGAUGAGUUGGGCUAAGCCCAUGAAGAGAGCAAAUCGACCCAAACCCGUAUUCUCGAUGAGAUUUUCGAAUUUAUCUUUGUGAUAUUUCAAUUCAAAAACAAAUAUUGCGUUUGGAAAAGAAAUCUUCGUGAAUAUCAAUUUAAAAAAAAUUAAAACCCUAAUAUGUGAUCUAUAAAUAAGUUAAAACGUGUAGGGUUUUAGGGGGCACGCAUAUAAUACACGGCCACAAUUCAUGAGAGGGGCUUUUCUCGAUCAAAGAAAUUCAACAAAAAAAAAAAAAAAUGGAGCAAAAGCCAUGUUCGUUUGAAAAGUAAGGGCAAAGAGAAGGUACAGCAGAACAGUCGAGGGCAGAGAGGAAGGGACGUCUAGCAGCAAGAGAGAGAGAAAAAGAAAAAAACAGAGGCUACUGUUCUUCUCCUUCGUUGGGUCCCCCGCCGGUGUCCCCUUACAGCCCGAUCCUCUCGCCGCGCACCAGCAACCAGGCUUCCGGCACCGCCGGCGUUCCAUCAGUCGCCCGAGCUUCCCCGCACCCGCGAGCUCACGCCAUCACCUCACCCGCGAGUCCCUGCGACGCCUCUGCUCCUCCCGACGACCCGACGGCUUCGCCCACUCGCUCGUCGCUGCUUCUGUUCUGAGCCCCCCGAGCGACGCCGCACGCAGCACUCGCGACUCGGGUCACUCCUUCUCACCGCUCCCCCUACGACGUUGCUGCUACCGCCGGAUCUGUCUCGCCUGCAACCGACACCAGCCUCCACCUUCGAUGGACGCAACAGCAGCCCCCUGCUCCGUCGCGCCUCAGUCUCUGCUUCGCCCGCGAAGCCGCUACUGUUGCCGAUCCGCUCCACCAGCCCGACGAAGCCGCCGCUGUCCCGAUCUGCGACGACCCCCUGCAGCCGUCUAGGCCUCGCCUUAGCUUGCUGUCGCCACCUCUGCCCAAGCGCCAACGACGCCAGCAGCCGAGCUCCUCGCUGCCACCAGUAGCUCGCUUCUGCUCCGGCGUCCAGCAGCUCUCGCCGAUCACUGCUGAUCCGCCUGCGACCCUGCUGCCGAGCCCCCUUGCUGCCAACGCUACCGGUCCGCCCUCGCCGGAGCUCCGACGCCCGCCGCCGCCCCUCACUGGAACGCUGGCGACCAACCCCUUGGCGACCUGACCGGCGUUGCCCCCUUAGUUGAUUGGGCUACCAAGCCCCAUUUGGAACAAGAAAAGAAAAAAAGAAAAGCGAAUUAGGUAGAUUUUCUUUCUAUUUACUAUAUUUUAUAUUUUAUUUUAUUUAGUAGAAUUAUUCAUUGAUUGAGAUUCCGACAUGAAAUAGCCUCUCGAAUUGAGAAUUGUCAGUCCGAUUUUCACGUCCGAAAUCUGAUUCGCAAUCGCUUGUAAAAUCGUCAACCCAAUCUCACGUCCGAAAUUCGAUUCACGAUUUAAUUUUAAAAAUUGGUCAACCUAAUCUCAUGCGCGAGAUAUGAUUCACCAAUUUGUGGAUAUUGAUAAUAUCUUAUCUGAUUUGCCGUCAUGUAGGUUGAAUCAAUUUUAUUUUUGUAAAAAGAAAAAUCCAAAAAAAUAUUUGAAUUGGGAUUAUGUCAGUUUUAGAAUAUUUCUUGUUAUCUUGCAUAUUUAGAAUAGAGAUUUUAUUUCGAAUUUGUUAAAAAAUAAAAAAAUAAAAAAAUGCAUUCAUUUAAGAUGUUAGUUUUAAAUUUGAAUUGCACGUUUAAAUAUUUGGCAAUUUUUAAUUUCGAAUUUCAUAAAAGAAAAUUUUAAAAAAAUAGAAUUAUGGCAUUCUUUAAGCGUCAUUGCAUAUUAUGAUAGAUUGCAUGCUUAUUAAGAAAAUAAAAAUCAUGUGCCCGUCGUAUAGAAUUAGGUUCAUGAAAUGAUUGUUGCUAGGUUCAUUUAAUUAGAAAUUGCCCGUCAUUAAGAUUAGGUCAUUUUAGUUGAUUUAGAUUGCAUAUUUAAUUAUUGCCCAUUCAUUAAGAAAACACAAAAAAAAAAAAUUAUCUUACUCAUUCAUAUAGUUUAGGCUAUACUAUUAUGUCAUAUCAUUUCAUGUUAGAUUAGUAGCAUGCAUUGCAUAAAAGCAUGAUUCUCAUUAAAUAAAUGAAAACAAAAAAUUGAGUGGUUGCGUGUUAAUUAGAACUUAUAUUUAGGAUUGUUGAUGUAAAUUAUGAUCUAACACUGCAGAUGCUUUUGUUGCUAUAAAGUAAGUUCUACAUCCUUUUAUUUGCUUUAUUUGGGUGUUAAAUUAGUGGUUUCCGCACCCGUAUGAUCACUUUACAUGUUAAGAAGAUAAAUUAAAAUUAAUUCAAGCUACCUGCAAAACAUUUUUUCAAAAUAAAAAGAGAAAGAUACCGAAAGGGCAUUAGAAAAGUUUAGUGUAACCAAGUCCCCGUACCCAAGAAGUAAAAUAAUUCUUCAAUUAUUUUACUUAGGUGUCUAAUCGACCUACCGUAAACUGAUUAAUGGUGACUCCCUUUUACAUGCUAAAUAUUUAAACUUAAGUCGCAAAUUGAUAUAGGCUUGGGAGAGCAUCAGCUAAGUCUAGGCUUAGCAAUCAAUUAGCUUAAUUUUAAGUGGUACACCCGAAUUUUAGGUCGCGACAGUUGACGAAAAAUCACCUCUAGGAAAAUAAAUGCUUUUUAGAACUUUACACCAUACAUCCGGUGUUUGGACAAAUCUCCAAGCUUGCUUCCUCAGCAUUGCUUGAUUAAAAUCCACUAAAUCUUUAAAACCUAGGCCACCACAAUCUUUUCUAGUUUUCAGAUCUUCCCACUUUUUCCAAUGUAUACAUCUUCUAGUUGCAUUAUGUUUCCACCAAAAAGAGGCUACUUGCUGCUCGAUAGUGCAGUGCAGCAAAUAGAUGUUGGGAUUUUGAAAAUGGACAUAGCAUAUUGGGGUAGGGCUUGAAUAACUGUCUUGAUGAGAACUUCCUUUAUUGCCUUUGAAAUCAACCUCUCUUUCCAUCCUUCAAGUUUCAUUUCAACUUUAGCAAGGAUCCACGCAAACAUUUGCUUUUUGAUUUGACCCCAAUCAGAUGAAAUUCCCAGAUAUUUUCCUGUUUUAUCUAUGAUUGGAACUCUCAACUCAGCAGCUAAAUUCUGUUUAAGGCUCUAUGGGCAAUCUCUCCCAGUGAAAAGCCCUGAUUUAUUGAGAUUUAUAACUUGUCCCGACACCUAACAAUAUUGAUUUAGUACAUUAGCUACAUUCUGAGCUUCUCUUAUUGUUCCAUUUAAGAAGAAAAUUGCAUCAUCAGCAAAAAAAAGAUGUGAGAGAGUUGGGCAUGUGGGAUUUAGGUUAAUACCCAUAAUACUUCCAUCUGUUACUACUUUACCCAUAAGGGUUGAUAGGACAUUGGCCAUAAUAAUGAAUAAAUAAGGGGAGAGAGAAUCACCUUGCCGAAUUCCUCGAGUUGGUCGAAAGACAGCUGAGGGAUCUCCAUUUACUAAGAUGCUGAACGACACCGAUGAGAUGCAAUGCUUUAUCCAUGUGACCCAUUUCUCAUUGAAUCCCAAUCUUAGCAUAUAGUCACAUAAAAAUCCCAUUCGACCCUAUUAUAAGCCUUCUGCAUAUCUAGUUUUGAAAUGGCUUGAAAAUUACGCAUUCUCCUUCUCAACCUGAGUUGAUGAAUCACCUCCUGGACUAUGAAAAUGUUGUCCUGAAUCUAGCGGUCUCUUAAAAAGGCACUUUGCUCCACAUAAACAAUUUUUGGAAGCCAUGGUUUCAGUCUAUUAACCAACACCUUUACUAUAAUUUUAUAAUUAAAGUUGCAAAGGCUUAUAGGUCUAAAUUGGGUGAUAUCUUCUGGAUUUGUUACUUUAGGAAUGAGAGUGAUAUGCGUUCUAUUAAGCUUUGGGUCAAGUGUAACUUGACUGAAAAAAGGAUCGAACCAUGCUGAAUAUGUCUUUGUGUAUAAUAGGCCAUUGACUUUUAUAAAAUACUAUGUUUAACCCAUCUGGUCCUAGUGCUUUUGUAGCCCCUAACUAAAAAUCAGUAUCUUUAACUUCCUCUUUUGUGACUGGUUUGAUCAGGUCGGCAUUCAUCUCCUCAUUUACCACCACUGGACAUUGAUCUAAUACUGGUUGGUAGUUCCUUUCUCCCACCAAACUAAAUAGGAAUUGAUAGAAGCUACGGAUAUGUUGUUUAAGGGUUGAGGGGUCCCUACACCAAGUCUUGUCAUCGAGCCAUAGCAUGGAUAUUUGGUUUCAUUGUCACGUUUAAACUGUUGUAGCAUGAAAGUACUUUGUGUUUUGAUCUCCCUAUUUUAACCAUUGAAUUCUCGACCUCAUACACCAGUACAUCUCUUCUUGUUGCCAUAACUCUUCAAUUUUCCUUACAAUAUUGCUGACUUCCUCUCUGUUUUGCUCCCCAUAAGUUUUUUUUUUUUUUGGUAAUCCAGGGAACCCCGUAAGCCGAUAGCCAGCGAGCAAAUCAUGGGGGAGCGACUGCAAGACCCACCACCACAGUACUCUAGGUAAAAAUCCCUAACGACACCUUUGGGAUUCGAACUCCUCCCCUUCGUGAGGGGGAAAGAGCCCAAGCCAGCUGCACCGCUGCGGGCGGUGGUUCCCCAUUAGUUCUAUUAGUCAAUUCUUGGAGCUUAAAUUUGAGUGGAGUGAUCUAUUUUUGACCAUUUUUAAAUUUUCUCCUGCUCCAUUUACUUAAUUCAGCAGCUACCAGCCUUAUUUUACUUGCCAAAGUAAGUUCAUUUGUUCUAUUUUCAUUCCAAACUUGCUUGAUCACUUUCUCACACUCUGGAUGUUCUAGCCAAUAGGUUUCAAACCUGAAUAGUUUCUUUCUUCUCUUCUAUAUUGGAUUUAAAGAUAGUAGAAUUGGGCUAUGGUCUGAGCCUAUCGUCGGAAGGGCAAAAGCCUCCACAUUUGGACAAAGGACUCUCCACUCCAUAUUACAAAUUGCCAUGUCCAAUCUCUUCUUUACUAAUGGAUUGCCUUCCCUAUUGUUUGACCAGGUGAAGGCGCAGCACUUACUCUCGAUGUCCAUCAAUGAGCAAGCAUCUAAAAAGUCCCGAAAAGCUGCGAUUCUAUAACAGUCCGCUUCUUGCCUCCCAAUCUUCUCCCAGUGGUAGAGCACCUCAUUAAAGUCUUCUAUGCAUAACCAUGGAAAUGGGUUAUUAUAAUUGCUGUCUUUCAAAGAUCGCCAUAGCCUUACUCUAUCUUGAAAGUUGGUUGAUGCAUGUAGAAAAGAUAUCCGCAUUAAGUAGCCACUACUUAAGUCUUGACAUUGGAUGUUAAUGACCUCUCUGGAGCUUCCUUCCACUUCCACCUUAACCUCCUCAUCCCACAAUAAUGCUAGGCCUCAUGCUAUACCAACCGGCUUGAUGACAAAAGAGUAUUUGAGCUAAAUCCUUUUCCUCACUCUCUCUACAACAUUAGUCUUGUUCUUGGUUUCCAUGAGGAAAACCAGAUUGGGCCUUUCCUGAGCCACUAAGGCUCUGAAGUGCUAAACUAUCAAGGGUGUGCCUAGCCCCUAACAGUUCCAGCUUAAUAAUUUCAUCUAUUCUUUGGUGGCUUAUUAGGGCCAGCCACCAAAACCCAUGCAUUAGCCCCUUCCCAUGACUGAAUUAGGGCAUCCAGGAGUUGGUCUUCAUCCACUAAGAGAUCCUGUGAGGUUUUCUUCUCAUAAAGACUGAUGCGCUUUUGUUUUUUAACCACAGGAGAUUUAUAUAUUGCCUUUCCUUUCUUGGACUUCAUUUGAUGCAUAUCAUUCCCUGCAAGAGAGGGUAAUAAGAUUUGAUUUUGAUGUGGUAUUUUACUACUGCUUGUUGGUGCUUGAUCUAUCUUAUGGGUCUCAUCCCUAAUCUCCUUCGCAAUAGGAUGUGCAAUAACAAUUGCUAAUUCAUUUGUUUCAGCUUGCUAUGUUCUCAGGGGUUCGUCGGUAGCCAUUAUGGGAGUUUCCAUCACAACCUCUUCCUCCAUAGCAGUGAGUUCAAUUUAUCCAUAAAAGGUCUUCCAGUAAGAGCUAACUUCUCGGACUUCCGCCUUCAACCACGAACCAUAUCAACCCGGUUGAUCCUAAGCUAGGUUGGUUUCCUCAUAAGGUAUUUUCGAACAGGAAUUUGCAUAAUGUCCAAUUCAACCACAAGAAAAGCAAAAAUGUGGGAGCCUUUCGUACUUAAAAUCUAUCCACCAUUUUUCCCCCACAUUGAUUAUAGUGCCUGUUUUGAGUGGGUUUGAUAGGUUCAACAGCACCCUUGCCUUUCUACAUUUGCGGGAGUUGUUAUUUCUCGCCUCCAUUUUGAUCUCCUCAACUUUUCCCAAUUUAGAGGCUAAACGACGUAUGGAGUCUUGAGUUACUCUAGCACAAGGGAGGCCUAUAAUAUGCACCCAAAAUGCAUAAUGCGAGAACUCAUAACAAUGUUCAAGUAUAUUUGGGUCUCCCUCCUUUAGGACUAGUAGAUUACUUGUGAAAGACUACGGCCCCAAUUCUAAAACCCUUUUUUUUUUCUUCAAUUGAGUUGAAUAAAAAGGAGAAAAAACCUGGUUCAAUCAGCUCACAUUUUACUGAUUCUGUUUUCCAUACUCUUCUCAUGGUAGUAAAGAAAGCCUAGAAAUUAACGUUAGGUUUAGAAAAUAGCUUGCCAUAGAGAGUUAACUCACUUUCUUGCCUUUCUUCCUCUGGAAUGUCAGCCCCUAGAUCUGUAAUAUCCUCUUUGGACCACAAAUCUCCCAUUAUUCGACAUAAGGCUACCAUUCGGAGAUGGUUGUCCUCCCCCCUGCCAUUUCUUGCCAGGUGUUCUGGGUUUAGUCAAGGUUAUAGGGUUGUAGUUAUGGAAUGAGGAAAAACCCAUUGAGUUUGUUCAUAGCCAGCCACACCGGCCACUGUUCUCCAUCAAGUCCUCACCUUUCAGUUGCAGUUCAACAUCAUUCCAUUGCUCAAUCCAAAAAAUGGAGACCACCAACAGGCUCGUAGUCCUCAAACGGCCCAAAUUCCUAAAAACUCGCCGCAAUUGCACGCCAAAUGCCACCACAUGUCAUAUUAAAGUGGUGUCUUGUCAAGUCUAGCUCAAUGGGUUGUUGAUGUUAUUAUCCGAUUAUGUUAACCAAAAACUUACGGGGCACGUGUGUUGAGUUGAUUGGUUAAUUAAAACAUAUUUAUCACUUGUUUCCACCCUCGGCCUCAUUUGGUGUAUCUGACUUACCAAGAUUAAAAUGGAUUCCAAGUAUCCUUCCCUUUUGUUCUUGGCGUUAAUUGGAGAGGCUAAGAGGGAGCUAAGAAGCCUUAUAUUUUUGGCUGUUACAUCUAGUGGUCAUAGCUUGGCCGCUGGAUAUUGAUGUAACUUCACCAUCAUGUCAGCAUCUAUCCUACUCCGAGGUUUACACCAAGCAAGAAAGUUAUACUGAUGUUAGCUGUAGACCGUUCAAUUGGCUAGCACAAUCUACCCCGUUUAAUAGUAAUUUAGGAUGUGAAUCAUAACAUUUCUAUUUCAGGGAAUAAUUUCUUUUCAAAAAUAGUUCUUUUUUAUUUCUACUGCUUGAAACAAUUUCUAAGUAAAAUAACGUAUUUGGUAACUAUACAAAAUUUAUAUUCUCAGAAUAGAAAAAUAAUAGGAAUGUGUUGGGUAUAAUCCAUAAAUUUUUAUAUUUUUUUCGUUUUUCUUCCAUAAAUUUUUGUAUUUAUUCGUUUUUAUUCUUGCUCAUCAAUUGCCAAAUGUUGAUCUCUAAUCGCCAACCACCGCCCUCUACCCUCUGACCACCUCUAGCGGCCGGUGGGUUGCGGGUGGCGAUCGUACAACAGUGGGCAGAGGGCGACAAGCGGCAAGCGGCGGCAAUGAACAGUGGUUGGUGGCGGCAGCAGCCAUCAGUAGUCGGUGAUCGAUGAGCGUUGACGGUUGGGCGGUGGUGGCAGUCGAGUGGCAAUGGCUAGCUACUAACAGCAAAGGCCAGUAUUUGGCGGGCAUCGGUGGUCAAGCGACGAGCGUCGACGGCAGCAGGCAGUGAGUGGCGACAGUCGAUUGGCAACGACGGCGGCCGAACAUGGUCAGCAGUGGCUGCAGGCGGCGUCGAAUCCAAGGACAGUAGCCACAGCAAGGAAGAAGAACAAAAGAAAAAUAGAAAAGAAAAAAAUGGCUUAUUUCUAGAGAUUAUUUUCGGAAAUAAUAAUUUACAUUUUUUCAUUUUUUGUUUUUAUUCCAAAUUUAUUUUUAGGCCAUUUUUCUAUUCCGGGAAAAAGAAAAAUUAAUUUAUGUUGUCAAAUAGAUUUCUGUUCUUUUUUCUAUUCCGGAGAGUAAAAUCAAGGAACAAUCUAUUUUUUUUCUACUCGGGGAGUAAAAGAACAGAAAAAUCAAUGAACUGAAGCAUUCCCAUGCAGCCCCUUAAGCAACAACAACCCUGGCACUUGAUUUCUAGUGAAUGGUAGUUGUCCCACAGGAUUUUUUGAGUUAAUCUCGAAUUGUCGAUUUCCCUCCCUAGUUUUCAAGCAUCACUUCUUUGCUUCCAAGUUGAUCUUCUUUCUGUUCUAUAUUGUCCUCGAGAUGAUCAGUUGGUCAACUUGGGUUCUAAACCCAAUAUCGCGCCCCCAGUGCGGGGUCCUCCGACCCAUCCUCUUUCUCUGGACCUUGGUCUGCAAUGCGGAUCUCAACUUUCCUACUAGCUAAUUCAUGUUGCCGUCGCUGUUGGCCGACGCCGCCGCGGUUGGCCGUUGUCACCGCCACCGCGGCCGGCCGUUGCCCGCUAACCAAGACACUUGAAAAAGAACAAGUAAUUAUAGUUCAGUAAGUAGUACGUAUCGGCCAGCCGUCGCCGCCACCGCCGCCACGGCCGGCCAGCGGUCGGCAAUUCUUGAGCAAUAAUAAAAAAUGAAUAAAUACAAAAAAGAAACUAUUGCGUUACCAAAUGCAUUUCUAUUCUUUUUCUAUUCCAAGAGUAGAAAUUUUGUGUAGUUACCAAACGGAUUUUUUUACUCAGAAAUUGUUCCCUGGAAUAGAAAUAGAAAAUAACUAUUUCUAAAAAAAAAAACCUCUUCUCUAGCCAAGAAGUGUUGUCAUGCGCAGCCCUAGCUACUGACCUUAGAGUUCCAAUUCCGCUAAAUCCCUAGGUCUCCCUUCGCGCUAGCUCACUCCUAACGCCAUUAGAUAUAUCACAGGUUCUCUUCUAAUUGUCGGCCGGGCUGGAAAGGUUUAUUUCCUGGAUGCUUCCUUGAAUCUUUCCAGGCCAAUGCAGGUGGCCGAGGAGAAGGGUUGGUCGCAUUUAUCUCCCCAGCACCCCAACGCUUCCCCUUUUUUAUUUAUAUUUUUAAAUGAUUAUCCUUUCUCCAACAAGGAUUGGAAUAAAAAAAUACUUGUACUUGGACUCACCUAACGAGACAGUGGAGGCUCCCAACAAGGUGAGCCGCUCUCCACAAAAACCAUUUAAGAAUGUGUUCGAUAAUAAUUCUGUUUUUAGAAAUAAUUUUUGCUUAAAAAUAGUUUUUUCUGAUUCUGUUUUUUGAAUGAGUUUCUAACCAUUUGAAGGCAUGUGGUAAUUGUCCAAAAUUUCUAUUUCUGAAAUAAAAAUGUGUUUGGUAUGAAUCUUAAAUUUUUUUUGUGACUUAAAAUUUCUUUUAAUUUUUUAAGUAAUUUUAUUACAUUUUUCUUUUUUCCUUUUCUUUCUCUUCUUCUUCCUCUUACCAGUCGCCAGCCUUGGGGGAGCCUCAUUGUCCCCCGGUGAGGCUCCAACGAGGUUGCCAAACCUCAUCUGGUCGGUCGCUAGCUAUCGCUAUGGCUAGCGAUCAGCCAGAGGAAAAAGAAGAGGAAGAGAAAAGAGAAAAAAAUAAAAUAAAAUGCUUGAUUCUGGAAUUAUUUCCAAGAACAAAAAAGAAAAUUUUUUGUACUUCUUAAUUCUAUUCUAAAUCUAUUCUCGAAAAUAAUAUUUUUUUUAUAUUCAACAAGGAAUAAAAAAGUUACUAAACGGAUUUUUUUUUUAGAAAUAAAAGAAUAUAAUCAAAUAUUGUUCCGUAAUUACUUGGCUUAGUAAGAUAUAAACCAUUAUACAAGUGAUUAGAAAAUGAACGGACCACAUCACCGUAGUGAGUAGAACGGAAAAAGCUACCUCUUGGACAUGAGCCAAGAAGGUUAUAUUAGGACGGGUAAUUAUGAGAUAUACUAAGUUAUCAACCAACUAUUGAUAGAGAGUAAAAUCUCGCAAUAGGGUAGGGUGCCAUUAAGAGGGUCCAGGUUGGCAUUGGGCUCCAUGGGCAAAAGUGACCUUAUCGUCAAUCAAACCCACAUCUAGAGAAUGAAAAUAUGGUGGUAUUUUCAUCUCUCCAUGGGAUCAUGAGGAAAUUAGAGGCAAGAAAUUUGGUCGCUUUUGCAAGCGCCGGAGUUCAUGGUGAUGAUGGAAUGGAUCUUCUACUGUUCAAGUCCGGAGUUAUCUUCGUGCUGUGCUUGAUCCUCACGUGGUCAUUAUGUUUUCUUGAGGCAAUGAUGGCAUCAACUCGUCUGUCUCUUGCCGCAAAUAGAGAAGGAGGGGAAAAUUAUCAAAAAAAUUCAUAAACUUAUUACACUUUUUUAAUUCAGUUUUAAAUCUCUUAAUUGUGUCAAUUCAAUCCUAAAUCUUUUUACGUUAUGUCAAUUGAGAUCAUUAGACAAAUCUUGUUUGAAAAUCGCUACCGUGAAUGCCAACCUUCCCACAUAGCAUGAUUGGCGAUAACAUAGAUAAAUUUUUAAUAAUAUUUCAAUUUUUUUUUUCUCUUCUUUUCUUUUCUUUCCUUUAUUUUUUCCUAAAUUUGGCCAUAGUCGAGGGCUAGUGACCCUCACCUAGUUUGGGCGAGGGUGUCCCAGCCCUUGCUAACCAGGCCAAUUGAGGAUCAUUGGCCCUCACUUGUGGCUGAUAAUGGUCGGCCGAUGACCUUGCUCGCCAAAAUUGGAGGAAAAAACAAAGGAAAUAAAAUAAACAAAUAAAUAAUUGAGAAAAUAUUAGAAUGUUAUUAAAAAUUAUUCAUGUCAAUACCACUCAUGCCACAUAGGACAGCAUCUAUGUCAAAUGAUUUUCUGGCUAAAUUUAGCUAAAUGGACUCAAUUGGCAAAAUAUGAAAAUGUUUAAAACUCAAUUGACGUAAUUAAACAGUUUAUGACAUAAGUGACUAAAAUAUAAUAGAUUUAGGACUUUUUGGAUAAUUUUCUCGAAAAAAGAGAAACAUCCAAUGUGGUCAUUACUACGUAGUCGGAGGUGAUGAUGGCCACCACCACGAUGGAGGCCACCACGGAAGUCACCAUGGAGGGGUGGUCAUGGGCCUUCGGCCACUCUCGUUGGAUGUGUGUUUUGCUACUAAAGCCUUCACUGGUUUCUUGACCAUGAAGUAGCAUUUUCCAUAACUCUCUAUUUUUAUUUUUAUUUUUUGUGGCCAAUGCUUAUCUCAUAUCCUCUGCUAUGCGAACAACCUUUAGUUUGGCGAGUCUUAGACACUCGAUGAGAGAGAAGCUUUGCUUGAGUAGGGAUGGAAGCUGGAGGGACUACGGUGAAAAACUCCUCGUAAUUUUGAAUUUGACACUUGAAGUUAAGAUCCAAGAUUGUUAUAAACGUUGGAGGGAUAUGUAAAUGGAGUCCCAAACCCAUCCGGUUGACUAGUGCUAGAACUUAACAAACUAUCCAACUAUAUUGUUUGGAUGGAUGGUUUUAACGAAUUAAAUAAAUGUUUUGAACCUAAGUUUAGAUGUUAUUAUAACCGAAUGGAUAAUCUGGUAAUUAAUUCGAAGGACCCACUUGCGCAAUUUCAAAGCACUCCGUGAUCUACUACCGGACGUGGAGUAGGGAAAUCAUUAUUUCAUCGGCAAGUCACCAAUAACUAGCUGCACUCAUUGCCAAUAUAAUAAAGCACUUUGUGAUCUGCUUCAGAAUAUUAGAUUCGAAAACGUACCAUGGAAUUUUUAUUGAUAAGUUACUAUUUAAUCGAAGGGGCCCACUUAUAAAAUUUUCAGGCAUUUGGUAUGCAUACUCAGCCUAUGAAGAUAAAAUCAUUAUUUCAUUUGUAAGUCGCAAACUACUUGAUGGCCCAAUUAUAAAAUUUUAUAGCACUUGGUAUCAUAUGACUGAAAAUGAAGGAUGAUAAAUGUUAUUUUAUCGAUAAGUUACUAAUUAAUUGCUAGAGCCCAUUUGCAAUAAAUAAUCUACUUGUGAAAGAGAUGGUAAAACCAUUUCUAACUCAUUGACGAGCUCAAUUAUCAAAUUGUAAAAAGAAUAAUUGGGUAACAGUUUUUAAUUUACUGUGAGAAAAAAAUUCUUUCUUGAACCACAAAAAACCAAAUAAUAAAUUAUUAUAUAUUAUGGCAGAGUUCACUCUUUAAAAAAUUUGUGGCUCACACAAUAAGUAGUUGUUUUCAAAGUAAACCAAAAACUGUUAUGUUAGUAAAGCCAAAUUUAAAAGCUCUUGUUAAUCUACUAUUGGAUACUAUUGGCCGAGAAAAAUCUAUAAUUGGAUACUAGAUUUGAGAAAAAUAAAAUCACUAUUUUGCUGGUAAGUUACAAAUAGUUGACUGGACAAGAAAGUUGCCAACUAAUGACCGACAAAAAAAUUUACUCACUAAUGAUAUCAUAGGUUCUAACAUUACAAACUUUCAGAUGAUAACAUAUUUCUUUGAGAUGGAAAGUUGAGGCAACUUGCUUGUAAUGUUCAAAGUUAGGUGGAAGAUCCUUUGUCCAAUGUGAUAUAUUUCUCAAUGGUUUCAUAAAUCUGACCGAUGGAUUAAAUUUAUGCAAUUGCAAAAGUUUUAGGAACAAUUAGCCAAAAAAAUAAGUUUAAAACUCAAUCGACACAAUUACAAUAAGUUUAUGACUUUUUUGAUAAUUUUCUCUGCUUCUAGGAAAGUCUAACAUCAGAUAUAAGAGUACCUAUAGAGUCACUCGAAUCUAUAGCAACUGACAGUUAGUCAAAGGUGAUUAUUCAUGAUGUUUUAAGGUGGUUGAAGUAGAUGACCUAGAGAGUAGUUGCAAAUAUUGAGUUAAAUGCUAUGGGUGCAGCAUGGUAGUUUCGAGUUUGGAGAUAUGAAGAGUGAAGACUGAUGGACGGUUGUGAGUUUGGAGAUAAGGAGUAACAUCUAGAAAGCUCCAAGGUUCCUCCACAUGUAGCUCAAUUUUUUUUUAAGUGCUGACUUUCUACAUAUAACAGAAUUAUCUAAACUGAAAUGGUGCAAUCUUGUUGGGGACAAAAAAAGUUAGGCUAUGUUUCAAAGGAAUCGGUUACUUUUGGCUUUCAUUAUAUGUGCUACGAGUUAGAAAAUGCCGCGGAGAGACAACUGAUUUCAACGACAACUAUGGCUAUGACAACAGAAGGAACUGAAGAGGUAGCGUGGUCUAAUGACUUGAUUGGUGAUGAUGGCUUGGAAAUCCGGUUGUUUUGGUGUUCAUGUCAAGAGAGGAUUUGACAUCGAAAAAGUUUCUUGCCGCAAAGAUUUUUGCAGACAUGCGAACUGAGUUCAAUCGUUUGGAGUAGUUUGAGCCCAACGCAGUUUUGAUGGACAUCUAAAGUAGUUAAGCAUCUAUUGAGGUAUUGGGAGGGCCUGCAUGGAUGACGAGCACCGUGACCUGCCCUUGAACAUUGAGCCAAGCGAAAAAUUGUUAAAUUUGGGGCUCAAAAUUCUAGUCAAAUUUGGAGUUGGGGUCAAGUCUAGAGAUCGAUAGGUCCAGGAUUUUUUGGACCAAUGGCCGAGGCUUCGAACCAGGAGCUUCCCAAUAAUCUGUUGCUACUACGCUCAGGGUGGGCACCUGACUAGAGGCCGACAUAAACCUCUUGGCUGUCCGGUUUUGUUUAGCCUAUUUUAAUAACACACACUUUUGUGAGUUUCUGGAAUGACUUAUUUUUUAAGAAUUGCAAGAUAACAUUGAUAGAUUUAUUUUGAGAGUGACCUUGGGUAGGGAAACAUGUGAGUGAUUGUAAUUAUGUAGUCUCUAUUCAUAAUGGAUUUCUCUUCUAUUGACUCUUUUCAAGGAGUAGGUACCGACAUUCAGGUUGAAUGACAUAAAUUUCUGGUGAUCUUUGUCAUAACUCGUUGAUUUUCCUGAUAUUUUUUUUUUCAUAUUAGAUUUGAAUUGCUAGCUUGAAUAGUUAUUUCACAAUGCAUCCACAUCCAUUUUGCAUCACACACAUACUAUGUGUUUGUAAAAAAAAAAAAAAUCUAGUUUAUAUAAAACUCGAUAGGAUAUAUAAGAUUUCAAUCUCUCAGACCCUAUUGAUGAACAAUGCUUUCAGCAUCAAAUCAUCUAAUAAAAUAAAAUUAAUUAGUCUUUGAUUGGUAUUCGUUAUUAGCAAAUAAUAAUAAAUAGAAAAAACCAUAUUUUGCAGAGAAAUUUGCUAUUUGAAUCUUGAACUUAUUAUACAUAUUUAAUUCAAUUUUAAACAUUUUAGUUGAUUCACUAUAGGUCUAAACCCUUACAUGACAUUUUAAUAUAGUCCUGUUGAUUAUUCUUGCCUCAAAUUAUUGACGUGGCGAUCCAGUCAUCCCGUCUAUCAAACACAAACAACUUUACUCGAAACGAUACUGUUUUGCUUAAAUUUCUUAGUUUCUUAAUUUUUAUCCUUUUCUUUAUUCUUUCUUUUUUCCUUUUCUGUCCACUGUUUAUUUUUUUGGUCUGGUAAAGCGUGAACGCUUAUGACAACAAUAUUUUGAGCAUGAUCAUCCAUAUCCGUAAGCCACCACUCAAAUCACGCCAAACAACUCCUCAACUAUCUCAGUUGACGAAUUUCUAACACUCUAUGAGCCUACAGAAAGUGGGCUCAUUUGAAUUCCUUUCGACUUCUACCAUCUGAAUUCCCUCCCAUAUGAGACGGAAAUGAUUGAAACCCCAAAAAACUCGAUCAGCUUCGCAAUAAUCUGAUAUAUGCUAAAGCAUGAAUGAACAAUCGCCUACAAAUUAAGAAGCAGUAGAAGCGGCUUCAAUCUCCCUGGCCUUCAAUGGCCACCGAGCUCGAAGCAGCUGAACUUGAGUUGCUGCAAGCUCGCCAAGAUGUGGAGGCUCGGCCCAUGGCUGUCGAGCUCGACGAGCCAUGGCAACACCUUGUAGAGUUGAGCAACAAAGGCGUAUGCAGAAUUCAAUCGUGAAAUCAAGGUAGAAGGACGUGCCAGACCUGGUAAAGUAGGAGGUGAAAAAAAAGAGAGAGAAUAAAAUAUAAGUUCUGCAUAAAGGCAUCGUUUUGAGUAAAUUUGUCGAACAUGCCACUUAAGAUGGUAUGUGAUGACUAGACCACCACAUUAACAAUUUCAGAAGGGCUUUCAUCAGGGGGACUUGAUUGGAGUUUCACUAAGGGUUUGGACAACACUGAAUCAACUGCAAGAUAUGCAAUAGAUCUACGAUGGGAAUGACAAUAUCUUCGUAGCUGCCCACGAUUGCCUAAAAAUUCCCAGAAAUACUACGGCUCUCUUAAGUCAUAAACCAGCUGACUUAAGAUUAAGAGAGCUGUACCUUUCAAACAAAAACAGAAUGAGUCGUAUCAUCUCACCGACCGUCUUGAUUGACCCGCAACUUCCCUUGUUCACCGUUUUGGUCCAAUCAGGAGCAUGUGCACGACCCUUAUUUGAGAUUACGAUCACCAGCUCGAUGUCACCACUUUGCCAUUUUAAGACUGUCUAAGUUUGAUCAGAAGAAACUUCGCAGAACCUUCACCAUGACUCCCGAUACGUCAACCAAAGGGAAUUAUCUUCAGAGUCUUCCCCUCAACUUUUGUGGUCCAUCAUCGUUAUGGUCGCGAGCACAAAUAAUUUAUAUGGAAAUCAUCAUAAGCCUCUCCCAUCAAUAAUAUAUAAUUUGAGUCAGAAAAUAUCAUCCGUUAAGAUUGCGAAGUAGAGAGAUUGAUUGAAGCUAAUCACAAUUCCAACACGAAAAGAUGAACACCCAAUUUUCUUCACAACCGGAUUAAAAAGUCGUCAGUGUGGAAUAAUUGGGUGGUUGAAAACUUGCAUCCAUCCUUCAGUUUUUGAGACUGACAGUGACGUACUUUUCUCCAUGAGAUGAUGAGGAAAUUCAUGGCGAGAUAUUGCGUCGAUUUUGAGAGCGCCGGCGUUCGUGGUGGUGAUGAUGGGUCGGGUCUUCUGCUGCUUAAGGCCGGAGUGAUCUUCGUGGCGUGCUUGAUGCUCGCGUCCAUCAUCGUGUUUUCCAGCGCCAAUGAAGGCAACGGCUCGCUCUGCUCUGGCCGCAAAAAGAAAAAUUCACUUGGAGGACAUUUUGGGAGUCGUGCCGUAAUUAAGCCAAUUGCGUAAGAGUGCUGCUAGGCUAACGGCCACCGUCAUUCUCAGAAGAACAUUCCAAAUUCAAAGAAAGGGACAACUGAAAGGUCAAGUUUAGCCUUUUUUGACGUGGCCAUUAUUAUUAUUAUUAUUAUUUUUUUGGUGAAAAAUUAUUUAUUGAGUGCUGCUAUAUCAGUGGUCACGGAGACCUAUUGACCACAUAUUCCUCUCACAGCCCCAUACUAACCGAUCGGACUUAUGGAGGAAUCUAAAUGUAAAUUCUGUAAAUUUUGCUUACCUUAAUGAAUUAAACAAUAGAAACUUAUUAAGAAACAAUGGACGAUGCACAUGAUCUCUCAACGAGUACACUCCUCAUUUCCAAUGUAAAAAGUAUAUUGAUGGCGUAUGAAGUACAUAUUAUGUUCUGUGGGUAUAUUUGAUUUGGUGAUGCAAUUUAUAUUUUAAGUCAUAUCAUAUUAAUGAAUUUAUAUGAUAAUUUGAAUAAAGAUGAUUCGUCUAGAUUCAUCAAAAGUCAAAAGAUGAAUUUGAGACUUUUCCGUCAAAUCCAAAAUAUUAUGUGAGUUUUAAACGAUUUUUGGGUCAACAUUCGUGUAAAAAAAUAAAUUAUUGUGACUAAUUGAAAUACAAGCCAAUCUUUGAUAUCCCAUCUUUUUUUUUUCUUUUGUCACAAUGAAUUGUAAAUUAAUCUGAAAUUAAUAGAUAAACUUACUGUAUUAAAAUCACUGGCUGUAGUGGCUCCACUGUAUAAGAGUUCCAUUGAUCCUUCCCCAAAGGUGAGGGGUUCCUAGAUCAUCAAAAAAAAAAAAAAAACUUACCGUAUUAAAGAAACUGUACUUUUUACGGAAGAGAUAAUUUUUUUUUUUUUUUUAUGAAUAGAAGGAUGAGAACGGAGACUAGCACAAAUAAUUUUUAAUGAAUAGCAUGUGAUGACUGGAUUGCUACAUUAUCAAUUCCAAGUGAGUUUUUGUCAGGAGGACUUGGUUGGAGUUUCACUCAAAAGUUUCUAACAACGUUGAAGCAAUUACAAGGUGUGCCAUAAGUCUCUGACAGGAAUAACAAUUUCUUGGUAGCUACUGUAUUGCCCAGAAAGUUCCCAAGAUACAACGGCUCUCUUAAGUCAUAGACCAGCUGACUUAAGAUUAAGAAAGCCGUACCUUUCUACCAAAAACAGAAUUGACCGGUAGAUCGGCCAAAAUACAACUCGUCCCACGUCGAACAUGGAGUGUCUUGAUUGACCCGCAACUUCCCUUGUUCACCGUUUUGGACCAACCAGGGGCAUGUGCACGACUCUUUCUGAGAUUAGGAUCACGAGUUCGACGUCACCACUUCGCCAUCAGAAGCAAUUUCGUAGAACCUUUGUCACGACUCCCAACAAGUCAUCCGAAGGGAAUUGUCUCCGAAGUUGUCCCCUCGACUUUUGUGGUCUAUCACCGUUAUGGCCAGUGCUUAAAUUUAAUGUUCCUCGCCUUAGGAGUAGAGUUGAAUUCUUGCUUCUCUCCAUGAGAUGAUGAGGAAAUUCAUCGCGAGAUAUUGCGUCGAUUUCGAGAGCGCUGGCGUUCGCGGUAGUGACGAUGGGUCGGGUCUUCUGCUGCUUAAGGCCGGAGUGAUCUUCGCGGUGUGCUGGAUGCUCGCGUCCAUCAUCGUGUUUUCCUGCGCCAAUGAAGGCAACGGCUCGCUCUGCUCUGGUCGCAAAAAGGAAAAUUCACUAGGAGGACAUUUUGGGAGUCGUGCCAUAAUUAAGCCAAUUGCGUAAGAGUGCCGCUAGGCUAAGAGCCACCGUUAUUCUAAGAAGGACAUUCCAAAUUCAAAGAAAGGGGCAACAGAAAGGUCAAGUUUAGCGUUUUUUGACGUGGCCAUUAUUUAUUGAGUGCUGCUAUAUCAGUAAUCACGGAGACCUAUUGACCAAAAAUUCCUCUCACAGCCCCAUACCAACCGAUCGGACUUAUGGAGGAAUCUAAAUGUAAAUUCUGUAAAUUUUGCUUACCUUAAUGAAUUCAACAAUAGAAACUUAUUAAGAAACAAUGGACGAUGCACAUGAUCUCUCAACGAGUACACUCCUUAUUUCCAAUGUGAAAAGUAUAUCAAUGGUGUAUGAAGUACAUAUUAUGUUCUGUGGGUAUCUUUGAUUGGUGAUGCAAUUUAUAUUUAAGUUAUAUCAUAUUAGUGAAUUUAUAUAAUAAUUUGAAUAAAGUUCAUUCAUCUAGAUUCAUCAAAAGUCAAAAGAUGAAUUUGACACUUUUCCGUCAAAAUCUAAAAUAUUAUGUGAGUUUUAAAAGAUUUUUGAGUCAACAUUCGUGUAAAAAAAAAUUAUUGUGACUAAUUGAAAUACAAGCCAAUCUUUGAUAUCGCAUCUUUUUUUUUUUUCCUUUUUCACAAUGAAUUGUAAAUGAAUCUGCAAUUAAUUAAUAAACUUACCGUAUUAAAGAAACAGUACUUUUUACGGAGGAGUUUUUUUUUUUUUUUUUAAUGAAUAGAGGGAUGAGAAUGGAGACUAGCACAAAUAAUUUAUAUGGAAAUCAUCAUAAGCCUCUCGCAUCAAUAAUAUAUAAUUCGAGUCAGAAAACAUCAUCCGUUAAGAUCGCGAUGUAUAGAGAUUGAUGAAGCUAAUCACAAUUCCAACACGAAUAAAUGAACACCACUUUUCUUCACAACCGGAUCAAAAAGUCGUCAGUGUGGAAUAAUUGGGUGGUUGAGAACUUGCAUCCAUCCUUCAGUUUUUGAGAUUGACAGUGACGUACUUUUCUCAUCCCUAUAUAAUUGAAGGUCCCUCAUCUCAUGUAUAUUGUCUCCUGCCUACAACUAUUGAUACCGCGAAUGGUUGAGUUCUUGCUUCUCUUCACGACAUAAUGAGGCCAUCAACGGCGAGCAGUUGGAUCGAUUUAGCAAGCCCCGGUGUUCAUGGUGAUGAUGGAGCGGAUCUUCUGCUACUCAAGUCUGGAGUGAUCUUCAUGCUGUGCUUGAUCCUUGCGUCAGUUGUUAUCUUUUCCUGUGGCGACUCUCAGAAUGAAAAAGGCGGCCGUGCUGGAAGCAGUAGUCGGGGUGCGGCGGCUGCAAGCGUGGCGGCUGCAAGCGCGGCGGCUGCAAGCACAGUGGCUAGUUCGGGUGGAGGCGGGGGCGGCGGAGGGUGUUGAAUUGACCUUAUAUUUAUAUACCUUUAAGGCAUGAGUUAAAAAAAAAAAAAAGCAUUUUCAUUUCAAAAAAUUGCGAUGCGAUAGUGUGGUCUGUGUUUCAUAUUAGGAUUGCUAUUUAGGGUUAAGUAUAUUGUUAUUUACAUAUGUUGUAUUUAAGUAUAAUUGUACUCUCACCCUAUACUUGUGUUCCUCAUUUGAUAAUGCACGGGCUGUUAUAAUCCUCUCUCUUUCAUUACAAAUUCUGUAAAUUUUGCUUGCCUUAAUGAAUUCAACAAUACAAACUUAUUAAGAAACAAUGGACAAUGCACAUAAUCUCUCAACGAGUACACUCCUUAUUUCCAAUGUGAAAAGUAUAUUGAUGGCGUAUGAAGUACAUAUUAUGUUCUGUGGGUAUCUUUGAUUUGGUGAUGCAAUUUAUAUUUAAGUUAUAUCACAUUAGUGAAUUUAUAUGAUAAUUUGAAUAAAGAUCAUUCAUCUAGAUUCAUCAAAAGUACAUUUUCUUCACAGCCGGAUUAAAAAGUCGUCAGUGUGGAAUAAUUGGGUGGCUGAAAACUUGCAUCGAUCCUUCAGUUUCUGAGAUUGACAGUGACGUACUUUUCUCAUCCCUAUAUAAAUGAAGGUCCCUCAUCUCAUGUAUAUUGUCUCCUUCCUACUACUUUUGAUACCGCGAAUGGUUCGAGUUCUUGCUUCUCUUCACGACAUAAUGAGGAAAUCAACGGCGAGCAAUUGGAUCGAUUUAGCAAGCCCCGGUGUUCAUGGUGAUGAUGGAGCGGAUCUUCUGCUACUCAAGUUCGGAGUGAUCUUCGUGCUGUGCUUGAUCCUUGCGUCAGUUGUUAUAUUUUCGUGUGGCGACUCUCAGCACAAAAAAAGACGCACAGGCAUAUGCGGCAGUGGUUGCGGUGGUUGCGGUGGAGGCGACGGUGGCGAUGGAGAUGGAGGAGGCGGC
rnacentral:lncRNA from 1 species